rnacentral:rRNA from 1 species
GUCCACGCCGUAAACGAUGGGUGCUAGGCGUCGCGGGUAUUGACCCCUGCGGUGCCGCAGCUAACGCAUUAAGCACCCCGCCUGGGGAGUACGGCCGCAAGGCUAAAACUCAAAGGAAUUGACGGGGGCCCGCACAAGCGGUGGAGCAUGUGGUUCAAUUCGACGCAACGCGAAGAACCUUACCGGGGUUAGAAACCUACGGAACCCUGACGAAAGUCGGGGGUGCUCGCAAGAGAGCCGUAGCCUAGGUGCUGCAUGGCUGUCGU